CAGAAACUAUACAAUCCACCCCCUCUGAAGGAGUUUGUUCAUUUAAAAAAAAAAAAAGGGAAAUUUGGGUGCAGACAGGCACACAGGGAGAACACCAUGUCAACACGAAGGCAGAAGUUGGAGUGAUGAGUCUACAAGCCAAGGAUUGCCAGCAAUUCAUCAGAGGCCAGGACAGCAGCCUGGGGCAGCCCCCUACAUGGUACCAACUCCAUCAACACCUUGAUCUCAGACUUCCAACCUCCAGAACUAUCACAGUCUGGAAGUCUGCUCACAGUCUCAAGGUUGGCAUAUCCCCUAGAGCCCCCAGACUCCUCAUCCCAUGGAGACCAACAUGGCCAGGGGAGGGCCAGAGCAGGGCCUUCUAAAUCACAGACCCCAGGGCAGGAGCCCCUCCGGUCUGGAUCUAAGGAUGGUAUUUUCAACAAUUCCUAAAUUUUUAUCCUAGGCUCUCCAAAUGGGAGUCUAAAGGUCUCAAAACAUGGUCCAGAAGAAGUAUGCAAAAAUGUAAAUUCCUAGGCCCCAACCCAGACCUAUGAAUCAGAUGAUCUGUAUGGGGGUUCAAGGAAUCUAUAUUAUUAAACAAUCUUCCUAAAUGACUUGUAUUCAUACUAAAGCUUGAGAAUUGCUAUCAAACAGCUAGAAGUUGGAGUGAAGGGUCCUGCCUUUCCCAUGAAAUUCAUCAACUCUAUGCCCUCAAAAGCUGGGCUCUUGGAUGAGCUGCUCUCCAUUCUAGAGACAUUACCAGCUAGGUAGCCUGCUGGUCC
rnacentral:lncRNA from 1 species